AGGCUUUGCCUAUACAGGUGGGCUUACUUUCCAAAUGUAUAAAGUAUGAUUGAGUUAUUAAGCUCUAAAUGUUUCAAUGAAAUGCAAAUUGUUUAUUUAAUGAAAUGCAAACUGUUUAUCCAAUAAAAUGUUUAUGUGCACUCUGCUCUGUUUAAGGCUCGCCACAACGAAUCAAUUGAGGUUCUCUUAUGGCCUAACACGUUAUUUGAGAAUUGUGUACACUCGUUAGCUGACUCGGUGGGUUGAUCUCCAUUCGGGCACUAACUAAGAGGCGUUAUAAGGGUGCUUGCUGGAUGUGUUCCGAAGCAUGUAAUGUAAGGGCCUGCCUGGGUAGCGUCCCGAGGUCAAAAGUAAACUUGUCUGGGUUACGCCCUCAGUUCAAGUAAAUGGGAGAAACGGAUCCGUCGGUGGCUAGAGGUCCGGGAUCACAGCGAGUAACAGAAAUGAGUGUGACAUCUGCGCGCAAACUAAGUAUAUAUAUAUAUGUAUCUAUAAAUGAAAUGUUUUAACAUGCUUAGAAGUUCUUUCACUUUAAAACCUUCUAAGUCAUGUCAAGUAUGAUUGGAUAAACUGUUCUUCAGAUUAUGAAAUGUUUUAAAGUUGCAGCCCACUAAGUACAUUAGUACUUAGCCCAAAAAUACUUUCAAAUGUUUUCAGGUUAAUGGCGGGUGAUGACGGGGCGGAGCUGAGGCUAGAGUUCAACUCCUUAUUUUGACUUCCGCUGUAGAACUAGCCCGUAUCUAUCUUUUGUUGAGCCUAAACUAUUGACUCUCAAGUAUUUCGAUUAAUGAAUGUUGGUUAUCUGAAGCAUGACACUAAACUUGUGAUCCUGAAGUUGUUAUGUUUGUGGAUUGAUUCGUAUCAUUUGAAUACCUGUCUUUCUUCAUCCAAAGGGGCUAAGCCCAAUUGUUAUCCCGUUUAUUCGGAUUUCACAAGGAUUUUCCCUUGUUCAUUUAGAUGAUUAGUCGUACCCCAGUUAUAGUUAUUGUUUCAAGAAUUGGGGUGUGACAGAAUGGUAUCAGAGCAUAAGUUUUCUUUCAUGUCUCUGAUAACCAAAAGCUUUUAAUGUUGAGUCUAGAUUAGUACCUCUAGACUUCUAAGAAAGUUGUUGAACCUCAGCUCGCCGUCACACUGCCGCAAGAAAGAGGUACGAUUUAAAAGUUUCAAAGUUAUUAAAUGUUUUGAAGGUUUUCAAGAAGUGCGCGCUUUCAAUGAAUGAUGCUAUGUGAAUUGCUUAUCGCUUUCCAUAUGCUAUAAGUUAUGAAUUGCUAAUCGCUUUCAUAUUGUUAUUUUGGGUCUCCGACUCAUAUAACCAGCUAAGUAUCGUGUUAGGGACUACCCGAACCCUUAACGAUAAGUGUCGUGUUUGGGACUACCCGAACCCAUAACGACUAAUGAAUGUUAUUUCGUGUUUGACUACCCGAGCCCUUAACGAAUCAAUGUACGAAUGGUCGAGUUAGAUUCCUUGAAUCUUUCCGACAAAAGCAAAGUUUUUAAGGAAUGAGACAUUUAUUGUCCACCUGUUUUUAAGGUUUCAAAAGAAACAAAUGUAUGAAUGAAUGAAUGAAUGAAUGAAUGAGAGUUUAUGUUAUCGUUUUAGGUUCACUGCCUAUACGAUCAGAAUGAAGGGUCCUCUUACAACUGUUUGAGUACCACCCGAGAAUACCUUAGGAAUGUUAAUCGUGAUAGCACCGCUUGAUCGAUUUAAGUAAGGAUUGGUAAGAUAGAAAUGUUUAACAUAGAUAUGUUACAACAUAGAGGCAAUGCUUUAAGACUAAGGAUUCACUUGAGCUAUUUCAAUAGCGGUGAGAUUAAGUUUUUCACAUAAGAACUUAUGUUGCUUAUGAUUAUGAUGUUAGUCGUGAUAGCUUUGCUAGAACGGCAUAGAAUGGACUUUCAAGGUGUCGAUGACUGAUGAUGAAGUACUUGUCAGUAAGUAUUUUAAGUUAGAAGUUUGACCAGAGCCUUAUAUGAAUAAGAAGUUGACAUGAUUGGGGGCGAAGCUCCCAUUUGACUGAGUGAUUCGUUUUGUUGGGUCUGGCCAGCCCACAUGACUAAGAUCUCGGUGAUUGUCAAUUAAGAUUUUUGAUCUCGAGGUAGAGCAUCAUCCCAAUAUAUAGACUCGCACUAUAUAGUUGUCACAAUAGAAUAUCCUUUUAUCACGAUAAGUAUAGUAGCGAUUAGAAUUACUCAGUUUGUCAUUAGUUUUCAACCAGCUGUUAAUAUGUGGUCCACAUGGUGGACAAUAAUAAGAAAUGCGUAAAGGAAUUCGUGAAUGAAUCGCGUCAUGAGAUAUUCAAUUCCCCUAGUGAACCAGGGAGAUAUUAUGAAGGAACAAGCAAUGAACGAGACUCUCACCACCGAGUCACUACAACAAAUGGAGAAGUAAAAAGUUCACGCACAAACAAGAUAUGUACACCACCUCAAGAUGGAGGUAAAGAAAAAGGAAAUGGAAUGAAAGAAAUAUAGGAAACCCUUAAAUAGAAGGAAAGCACUGGAACUACACUUAAGGUAUAACCCAACCCCAAGGCUAGUAGGCUCAAGCUAAGAGAGUGAAUGAUUUAGCUAAAGUGCCGGAAGCUACAGCAAGAAUAAAGUUGGAACGCCACCACAAUGGAAUCUUAGAAACCCACAUUGAAUAACCAUUUGGAAAUGGGAAAAUGAGUUUACAUGGCAGAAGGAGUGCCAUUAAUCCUCGAAGUGAAAGUUUCGAAGACGAUGAGAAAAGUUUGAUGUUAGAAUUCCCUGGUCAAUCUGAGAAGGUGACUUAGGACGAAGGAAACAAUUAAGGAAGUUCAACAGAUUUGAGAGUACAAAGAUAUUUUUCCCAAUGAAUUACCAAAUUUUCACCAGACCUAGUUUCAUGCAACAUAGUAUGUCACUAUGGGGAACACUAAUUUAAGAUGUCAAAGAAAAGAUGAUACACUAAGGAUGUGUAUUGAUGAUAAGAAGUUGAAGCAAGCCCAUAAGAAUAGAUAUCCUCUUCCGAGGAUAGACGACCUGUUAAAUCAGUUGAGAGGAGCCGGUGUGUUUUCCAAGAUUGACCUAAGAUCUGGUUACCACCAACUCAGGAUGAAAAGAGAAGACAUCCCAAAGACAGCGUUUCGAACGCGUUAUGGACCUUACAAGAUUACAGUGAUACCCUUCGAUGUAACGAAUGCCCCAGCAGUUUUCAUGGACCUGAUGAACAUAGUUUUCCAUCAGUAUUUUGAUAGUUUUGUCUUAGUGUUUAUCGACAACAUCCUCGUAUACUCUAAGACCGAAGAACAACAUAAAGAGCACUUACGCAUCGUACUCAAAACCCUGCGCAAUGAGAAAUGGUUUACCAAAUUCAACAAGUGUGAAUUUUGGUUAAAGGAAGUUAUGUUUCUCGGUCACAUAGUGUCGACCGAAGGAAUCAAAGUAGACCCCGCCAAGGUCGAAGCAGUCAAGGAAGGGAAGGCACCAUCAAAUGUCAAUGAGAUCAGAAGUUUUCUCGGUCUAGCAGGUUACAACAUAAGGUUCAUCGAAAGAUUCUCGAAAUUGGCUAGGCCAAUGACUCGACUUUUAAGAAAAGGGACUAAGUAUGUUUGGUCCGAAGCUUGUAAACAAAGUUUUAAAGAGCUCAAGACAAGACUAACUACUGCACCAGUGUUAGCAAUACCAGAAGAGAAUGAAGAAUUCGUGGUGUACACUGAUGCCUCGAAACUAGGAUUGGGUUGCGUGUUGAUGCAAAAUCAGAAAGUGAUAGCAUACGCGUCUCGCCAAUUGAAGCCUCAUGAGCUGAACUACCCGACUCAUGAUUUAGAACUAGCAGCCGUCGUGCACGCGCUGAAGAUUUGGAGACACUACCUCUAUGGAGUUAAGUGUGAGAUCUUUACAGAUCAUAAAAGUUUGAAGUACUUCUUUGAGCAAAAGGAUUUGAACAUGAGACAACGAAGAUGGCUCGAAUUAGUAAAGGAUUACGAUUGCACCAUCAGUUACCAUCCAGGAAAAGCGAAUGUAGUAGCUGACGCCCUGAGUCGAAAGACGAAGGCUAAGCUAGGGUUUUUCGUCACCCAACAAAAGGAACUGAUUCGUGACUUCGCCUCACUCAGGUUAGAGAUUGUUCACCCUCCGAACACAGUAUCGGGUUGUGUAGCUGCCUUGACAGCUAAACCUGAUUUGAGAGAAAGAAUUGUGCAAGCACAAAGAGAAGAUUGGUUCUUGGAGAAGAUGCGUCUUGCUACAAGAACGAAUGAAACGAAAGGAUUCACUGAAGCACAAGAUAACGCACUAAUGGUUGGUGAAAGAUUGUGUGUGCCACAUAAGGAAGAGUUAAAGAACGAGAUUAUGAGCGAGGCUCAUGAUACUCCUUACACUGCACAUCCAGGCAGCACAAAGAUGUACCAGGAUUUAAAGAAAAUUUUCUGGUGGAAAGGAAUGAAAAGAGAUGUAGCGUCGUUUGUGGAGCGAUGCCUCGCUUGUCAACAAGUGAAGGUCGUGCAUCAGAGGCCGUAUGGAAUGCUGCAACCACUACCAAUCCCCGAGUGGAAGUGGGAGCACAUCAACAUGGACUUCGUAGUGAGCCUACCAAAGUCAGCACGUGGAAACACUGCAAUUUGGGUCAUAGUGGACCGAUUAUCAAAGUCAGCGCACUUUCUACCAAUUCAAAUGACAUUUGGAUUGGAGAAACUUGCAAAGUUAUAUGUCAAAGAGAUAGUACGCCUUCACGGUGUACCUGUAUCUAUCACAUCAGAUCGUGACACCAGAUUCACCUCGCGUUUCUGGAAAAGUUUACAAGAAGCAAUGGGCACUCAGCUGAACUUCAGCACAGCGUACCACCCUCAGACUGACGGGCAGUCAGAAAGAACGAUUCAGAUUCUAGAAGUUAUGCUGCAAACGAUUAUCGCAGACAAAGGUAGAAGUUAGGAGGAUUUGUUACCUCUCGUAGAAUUUGCUUAUAACAACAGUUAUCAAGCAACAUUUGGAAUAAUCCAGAUGAGGCCUUGUAUGGCCGAAAAUGUAGUUCACCACUUUACUAAGAUGAAGUGGGUGAAAGAAAGCUGUUAGGUCCUGAACUGGUCCAACAGAUGGUUGAGAAGGUCGACCACAUCAAGCAAAGAAUCAAAGAAGCUCGAGAUAGACAAAAGUCUUACGCCGAUAAACGCCGAUCGGAGUUAGAAUUCAAUGUUGGGGAUCGAGUUUUCCUCAAAGUUUCUCCCUCAAAGGGAGUUAUACGUUUCAGAAAGAAGGGCAAGUUACGACCCCGUUAUAUAGGACUUUUUGAGAUCCUAGAUAAGAUAGGCCCUGUAGCCUAUAGGUUGGCAUUGCCACCCAGUAUUGGAGACGUGCACAAUGUGUUUCAUGUCUCUCAGUUAAGAAAGUAUGUGUUUAAUCCAAAGCAUUUGAUUAAGCCAGAUAAAGUAGUCCUAGCCAGGACUUAAGUUAUGAAGAGAAACCAGUCCAGAUACUUGAUCGCAAGGUUCAAGUUUUAUGAGACAAUAAUUUUGUUCUCAUCAUGAAGUGGAACCAUCACAGGAUGGAAAAUGCCACAAAAGAGAUGAAUGAAAUGAAAGACUAGUAUACCCAGCUAGAUUAUCAAGGUAUGUAAUUUCGAGGACGAAAUUUUUUUUAAGGAGGGAGGGAUGUAAUACCCCGUUUCCCCGAGCUAAAUUUAGAAUUUAUUUUCGAACUUAGAUUUAAGAUGAUUCACGCCGGAUUGAGAAAAAGAAUUUAUUUUUAAUUCCAACAAAAAUGAUUUACAAAAACAUUUGUAAAUUUAGUUAUUGAAUUUAUAUGCAUUGCAUAUUUAUUUAAUUUAGCAUUCAAGUAUUUUCACGAGCUAUUUAUUUAGCGAACCCUGAAGUAUUAUUACAGUCCCGGUAUUUUAUGUUCCUAAUAGCCACCCUAUAUCAUGAUUAUUUUUUUCAUACAUGUCACAAUUAAAUCCUCUCAUAUCUUAUCAAAUCAUCUUAUAUCUUAUCAAAUUCUUUUGCUUUAGUUGUCCACUCUCUUUUGUUUCCACUUUCUUUUGUUUUUAUGCUGUCAAAAUUCCACUUAGCAAAUCAGCCAAAUCUUUCACACAAACCUCUCACCGUGGAGCUUUUCCCUUCUUCAAUUAGCUUUUCAACAACAAGCUCAUCAUUUUUCUUCUUUCACGGAAGGUUUCUGCUUCUGUAUUUUUACAGAAAGCCUGCAUUGAUUUCAUCUAUGAUAAUCCAAGCAGACACAACCCACACAUAACAACUCUAAUCAACAGGCAAUAGCUUCAUCUGAAAUCCUCUCUCAUCCGUAAAUUGGAGAAAACCAGUCUGCUUUCACGGAGGUAAUCGAUAAUCCAGCAUCAUAUAUACACUAAGAGUCAUCCCUCAUACCAGAGACACAUGAACUUUUAUGUACUGACCAUAUGAUAAAAUUUUACUUCAAGUAUAAUCUUUACAUACAUAUACACAAAAGAAAUUUUCAGCACUUGAGCUAUCAAAGUAUUUUUCUUUCAUAAGAUGCUUUUGUGUGUGAUGGUGUGUGUGUGUGUGAAGUUCGAGAGGCUGCUGCUGGGGUCGAGAGAUCGGCGAGAGUGGAAGAGGGAGGCCAGGGCGCGGCAGCCUUGCUGUUGCUGUCGUCCGGCCACGGACGAGGGAGAGUUCAUGUGGCUGGUCGGAGCUGGUCUGGGUGGAGGUUAGGGCUCCGGCGGGCGGCUCCGGCUGCUGCUCGUCGGCGGGAGUCAUAGAGAGAAUUCCGAGGGAGAUAAGAGGGCGGCGAUGGUGGCGGCAUGAAGCUGCUGCCGUCGGCCAAAGUUCAGCGGAGGGAGGUAGAGCUCGGCGGCCUUGGCUGCUGUCGCUCGACCACUAUCAGAGAGAGAGAGCUGGUGGCGGCAGCUCGUCGCUGCUGCUCCUCCGGCGAGCUCCACGGUGGGCGGCUGUUACCAGCCGAAGAGAGAGGGGCCGAGGGAGGCGGCUGGUCUUUUCGGUUGAUGCGGCUGCCGGUCGACGGCUGCCUCGCCGGAAGGAUGCGCGGUGGCGGGACUGAUGGCUGAGAGAGAAGGGAGCGAGAGAUGAGGGAAGAGGGAGCCGAGAGAGGGAGAGGAGGGUGCUGCUGUGAUUGUUACGUGUGUGUGUGAGCGGCUGAGGGGGGGGGGGAGAAAAAGGGGGUGGAGUGUAGGGUUGGGCUUUGGGAUUGGGUUUGAGUUGGGCUAGGGCUUAGAUGGAGUGAUGGGCCGAUUUUUUUUUUAUGGGCUGGGUUCUUAAUUUAAUUUUCAGUGGGCUUGACUUGGGCCGAUUUUAAUUGAGUGUUGGGCCGAGUUUUUAUUUAUUUUUGUUUCAGUUUGGGCCUUUACUUAUUAAAUCAAUUGGGCCAUUAAUUUUCAAUUGGGCUCAGUUUAUUAAAAUGAAUGUUGGACCUUCAAUUAUUUAAAAUUGUGGGCUGCCUCCUAUUAAUUAAAUUGGGCUUUCUUAUUUUUAAUUAAUUAAACUAUUAUUAGUUUGAUUAAUUUAUUUAAAGGAUAAUUUUCAUAAUAAUAUUAUAUUAUUAUUAUGUGCAUAUUUUAAGUAAUUACUUAUUAUAUGCUAAGCAUGACAUGAUUUGCAUUAUAUUUUGCAAUAAAAAUAUUUAUGAUUUAAUUGGUUUUAUUUAUAAUUCCAAUUAUUAAAAAUAGAUGAGUAAGAAUAUUGUUGGUGUUCUUAACUCAAGAGAAAUGUUUUCAAUUAUUUAUUCAUUAAAUUUUGAAAACCCGGCUAAGUGAAUCAUAGAAUAUUAAGCACUACACCAUGACUUAAGAUUAGAAUUCAAGGAGACCUAUUGAGAAUAGAAUUCUUGUAGGCUUUGUGCAUCAGGAGGAUUAGCACUGCUAUUCCGAUUCAGAGAUAAGGUUAAACGACAGGCUUUGCCUAGACAGGUGGGCAUUACUUUCCAAAUGUACAAAGUAUGAUUGAGUUAUUAAGCUCUAAAUGUUUCAAUGAAAUGCAAAUUAUUUAUUUAAUGUAAUGAAAACUGUUUAUCCAAUAAAAUGUUUAUGUGCACUCUGCUCUGUUUAAGGCUCGCACAGUUAAUCAAUUGAGGUUCUCUUAUGACCUAAUACGUUGUUUGAGAAUUGUGUACACUUGUUAGUUGACUCGGUGGGUUGAUCUCCAUCGGGCUCUAACCAGAGGCGUUAUAAGGGUGCUCGGCUGGAUGUGUUCCGGAGCAUGAGAAAUAUCAGGCCUGCCUGGGUAGCGUCCCGAGGUCAAUUCAACUUGUCUGAGUUACGUCCUCAGGGCAAGUGUCAGCGGGAGACAGAGAUCCGUCGGUGGCUAAGAGGUCCGGGAUCAUAGCGAGUAACAGAAAGGGAGUGUGACAUGUGCGCACAAAUGAAAGAAAAUGUUUUAACAUGCUUAGAAGUACUUCUUUCAAUUUAAAACCUUCUAAGUCAUGUCCAGUAUGAUUGGAUAAAUUGUCUUUAUUAAAAUAUGAGAUGUUUUAGAAAAUGCAUGCCCACUAAGUACAUUAGUACUUAGCCCAAAAAUACUUUCAAAUGUUUUCAGGUUGGCUGGCCGGUGCUGACGGGACGGAGCUGAGGCUAGCGAUAAAUUCCUAUGAUAGACUUCCGCUGUAGCAAUUACUCAUAUCAGUCUUUUGUUUUCCCAACUUAAGAUCUUCAUGUUAAAUUUCAAAUGAUAUACCUGACCGAGCUUAGACUCUUCACUACUUAAUUUAUGCCAAUGAAUGUCGGUUGUUAGAAGCAUGAAACAAAACUUGUGAUCCAAAGGGGCAUAGCCCGACUUUCUAUCCUAUUUCGGGUUUUUACAAGGUUGUUCCUUGUUUAUUUCUAUGAAUUA
rnacentral:lncRNA from 1 species